CUGCACAUUUAACGUAAAAAACAUUACCACAUAGAGUCAUACACAAGUGAUUUAAUCACAUCUCAAAAACAUUAUUUCAAGGCGGCUCUUGUAUUUUUUAGCUUCAUCACAAAUGAAAUUCCAUGUAACAUAUGAAUUAUGCUUCAUAAUAAUAAUUACUUCUUUCUAAAGUGAAGUUAGUUUUAUACUAGAUAAUUAUUUUAAAAUGUCAGCAUGUCCUGUGGGUAGUUUACUCUGAAAAUAAUAUAUAAUGGUUAAGAGAAGACCAAAGUCAUGUGGUCAGUAUUAUUUUAUUUCUCUGUGCCUUGCUUUGGUUUUAUGUAAAAGGGUGCUCUAUAAAUAUUAGAUAUGGUAAUGUAUGUAACUCUUGAUGCAUGAUAAUAUCUCGGUAAAUGUUAUUUUCUCUUACUUAUUCUACUACUAUAUACUAGAGCAGUCCCUAUUGGAAUAUGGUAGUUGGUAGAGAACAAGAAGAGAUGGUUGAAAUAGAAAUAGAAGUGUUAUUGCCAAACUUUGUUUCCAAGUUUUUUAUAUACUGAAGUUUUUCAUAGUAAUUUACUAAUUAAAAAAAUGAGUUCCACUACUGAAACUGUAAUUGAGAACCUCUCGCUCUGGUCUGACCUUGCUUCACCUGUGAGAUUCCCAGCCCUCACUCAAAUUAUCUGUCAUGACAGAGACAGAUUCUCUUAACUUCCCACUCAAGCCACAUUCUCACCAUCAAUUAUAGUGCAUCGUAGGACUUAACCUUAAAUGCCCUUUCUUAAUCUUUCAACUGGCAUAUAUAAUAUAACAAAGAAGUAACUCCCAAGAGGCGCCCAAAUAUGUUCCAAGGACAAUGGGUCAGUGUUAGAAGAGAGGGGAAAUUUUGAAUCCUGUAUGGGUUUGGGUAUUGCUCACUCAGAUUGUCCCCUGGCUCCAUUGGCCUCGUGCCUGGCUCCCAGGGAAGUAGGGGGAAGAUGGCAAAGACUGACUAAAAGCUGAAAGAGCUCUUUCAUUAGAAUCUCUGAAAGAUUUUGGAAGCCCAAGGCAAUAGGACUUUGCAACCUCUGUCCUACUGAGAUUAGGGGAACAGGGGUGAGUAGAAGGGUGGGGUCCCUAUUCAGGCUUUCUAUUGAGCAUGAAAAUGUCACAACGUCUGAAAAAUGGAUCAGCUGACAACUGGAAUCCAGAAAAAUUGGGAAUAGUAUUUCACUGUGGUCAGUCUUAGAGAUUUCUUUGCAGCAUUGAUGAUUUGGGAUAAAAUGGAGAGUAUACUUGGCAGAUCAGGAUGGGAGACCUUACAAUGGUUUUGAUAUCACUGGUAAGAUCCAGACCAGGAGAAAAGGGGAAUGACAGUAGCUGAAGGGACAACUUCCUGAGCACAGUAAGACAAUCCUGGACCAGUUUUGGCAGGGUACUAUGUUAUAAAAAAUCUGAGAUCCACUAAAGUCCCCAGCAACUUGAACUAUACAGGUACUGUGAGAAAAAGAAUAAGAUAUCAUGAAUAUUCAAAAGCAAAAGCUUUAGUAGGUUUUUGCAGAGACUGGAGGGAGUUACAAGGAUACUGGGUCCCUGGUGACUGUAAAGACCUCAAUUCAGUCAUCUUCAUAGUAGGGUUUCACAGUUUAAAUUAGUGUCUACAUUCUGAAGAAUUUCUUAUUUCUAUCACUAUCGCUAAAUAGUUUCUCUGAUACAGUAGCUUAUAGUUUGUUAAGAGCUCAGUCUUCUCAUCAGACAAAUUGGGUUUUGAGUCUUAGACCUUGGGCUAAGCACUUCACUUCUGUAAGCUUCUAUUUCUUCUUCUCUGCAGAUAAAAUAAUAAUUUUACCUACCUCAUAGGAUUUUUGUAAAGAUCAAAUGAGGGAGAGGACGUGGUCAGUACUCAAUCAAUGUCAAUUAAGAAUAAUUUUCUAUCAUUACUUUGUAACUAUACCUAUGUUUAACCUGUGUUUCACUGGAUCCUUUAUAAUCCAUCCGUAUUGUGAUCUUUCCAUUUGUUA
rnacentral:lncRNA from 10 species